UUUAGUUUACAUGUAGGCAAGUAAUAAGUAUGACUGAAAAUGAGUGUACCGUUAUCCAAUAUCACAGAAGAAACGAUAGAACACCCGAGAAAGAUUUCGUUAGGAGAGACGAGACGAACAAAAAAUUGACAAGUGAAGUGCGACGAGCGGUGGAGCGUGCUCGAAACAAAAUCACAGACCUGCAGGAUGAUGUCGAUGAAAGGGAUGUUGUUGUAGAAACUGAAAGAUCUCUGAGAAUAGCUGCUGAAAACAGACUUCAGGAACAUUUAGUGGAUCCAUAUAAAAGUCCAGAAGUUAAUCAUGAAUUGAGACAAAGACUACCAAGAGCAAACAAAGAUGAUCCUAAACUGUCAAGAUCAGAUCAAGAUCAACAGGAUGAUUUAAUAGAAAAUCCAGGGGAGACAAUUGAAGUUAUGGAAACACAGCAAGUUACAAAAACAGACAGGCCACCCAGUCCUGACCAAGUUGGACACAACAAAUCGGCAAGUCAAGUUAAGCGAGCUUUGGAUUUUAAGGGCACUGAAAGACCAAGAAAUGAUAACAGUGACUCUAGCAAAUCAUUUAUCAAUAAAAACAGUGUUCCUCUUACUCAUUCUAAUAUAGUUGGAUUUCCACAAUAUGUGAGCAUGCCACAGACACCUGUGUUAUACAGACCUGGUCUGACCUCGUCCUUUAGUCCCUCUGGUGCUUAUUCUUACAAUCUGACCUCUCCACGGAAUCCAUUACGUACCCCAACAAGUACACCGAAGGUACUAAAUAACGAUCAACAGGACGAUCAGUCAGAAAAAAUGGACACGUCAUUAAGUGUUAGUGAAUUACACACAGAAGAACUACCUCCUCAAGAUACAACGCGAUCACAACAACCUCAGCCUCAGCAAUCAUUCUUUAGACUGCCCUCACAUACAAUGAAUGGUUACCCGUCGCCUAUCAGGUCCUCUUCAUUCUUACCACAACAGUCACCUAUGUAUCAACCGACAUCAAUUACAGAAUCAGUGCUUCCAUCAUAUUCCAGUCAUCUUAGUCCAUCAGAUCAAAACAGGCAGGUGGCGCUGCUGUUGUCAGAGUUAGAUGCUGCAAAAUCUCAAAACAAAAAGUUAAUGGAGAAAAUGAUAAAUAUAGAACUAGAUUUGGAGACAGAAAAGUUGAAGGCCAAAGUCCGAGAGGCAGAUGAAAAAGGUCAUACAGAUGCUUCUGUGGCAGCAGGAAUGGUGCAAGAAGUCCAUAGAGCACAGAGGAGAAAAGAGGAGGCCAUGAUGGGCAGAAUUAAAGUAGCCAAUCAAGAAAGAGAUGAGUCAAUGUUCCGUCUCUCAGAAAUGGAAAGACGAUAUGAAGAAAGUUUCAGUAGAGACAGAUCAGAUAGUGGUGACAUGGAGGAUGAAUUGGAUUUGGAGGAGAAUUUUGACCAUUUAAUGUCCAGAGUUGGUCAGUACGACUUCCCAAAUGUACAUGAAUAUAAUUCCUUAGCACAAAAACUAGAACAGAUGAAACAGCGACAGAGAGAGAUUGCUUCUGAUGAGAUGCAGGCUAUUUUGGAGCAAAGAGAUCUGGCCCUGGCUAAGGCUAGAAAGUUAGAAGAAGAAUUGAUGAAAAGGCAAAGAGAAGAUACUUUCAACAAUUCAAACUCAGAACAAAAUCUUCUGUCUUCAUCCUCUGACCAGCCAGUGCGACUUCCCACACCCCCACCUUCCCCACGGCAGAAUUGGACAUUGUUAAAAAAGAGCGCGAACUGGCACUUGCGAAAGUUAGACAGCUCAAGGAUGAAAAUGAGACAAUACGCAUUUACUACAGCCUCCACAAGUCCCUCUCCCAGGAAUCCAUUCAUCAGGUCAACAACACACUCCAUGUCAACCAAUCAAAAUUAAAGGAAAAUAACACGUUAGUGGCAGAGUUACAGGAUGCCACUGUACAGCGGGACCAACUACAGGCAGAUCUUGAUAAACGGGACAGAAAACUAGAAGAGACAGCAGCACAAAUUAAAAAACUUGAAAGAUUGGUGACAGUGUUAAGAAAGAAACUCAGAGGAACAGACUCGUCAGAAGACAUUACUUCAUGAAGAACAGAAGGGACACAAAAUUUCUUGAAUAAAUGAGGGCCACAAUUAUGCAUUAGGAGGGAGGGAUUACAUCACAUGUAUUUUAUAAGGGAUGGAAAACAGCAGAGGAACAAUAAUUGAAGAAGAAUAACAGUUUGAAUAAUCCAAGAAAUAGCAGAUGGGGACAGUGCUUCGUUACUUUUGACUUCAUUGGGACACACAAUAAUGCAACAUUUAUUAAUGCUAGAACAAGGGGUGGCUCCAGCAUGGUCAGAUCAGACCUGUGAUUGAUAGGUUUGUCUGGCAACCUUGCGACCUGACACUUAAAAGGACCUGUGACCUUUGACACAGGUUUAUUGUUAGAGAUAAACAAUCAAAAGUGAUUAAAAUGACCUGGUUUCCUGAGGCAAUUCUUAAACCUGACCUUCAGAACUAAGGGGAGUACCCUACUGGAGCUCUGCAAGGAAUCCAUUGAAAGUACAAAUGAACUAUUAAUCACAAAGGUUUAUUUCCCCUGAAUAAAACUGGUAACUGAGUUUACACAGUGUUUCUAGAUUUUUCACUUGGUAAGAACAAUAAUGAUCAUAUAUAUGUGUGUAUAGUUGGUACUUUUUACUAUUUUUAUAUCAGUGAACUUUCAUGUUCUAAGUCUCACAUGUUUCUUGAAAUUAGAUGCAAUAUAAUGAAUUGCAAUAUGUGCUUUAUCUUUUACUUACAUUUUGGAAGAUGGGUAUUUUUGUAUAUUUCAUAAUGGCAGUAUUUUUUUAUACUGUUCCCUUUAUUUUCAAAGUCUUUUUUUGCCUUGUGCUAUACAUUUUUUUGUGUAAUUGAGAUCUUCAGUUUUCACCUUUUUACAACAGAAACCUUCCAAAUGUUAAUCAGUUUUCUCUCAAGUGGUCAUUUCUAUAUUAGUAUUAUCAAGACCUUUCAUAUUUAUGGGUUGGAACCAAAAUGGUUCAUAAAGAAAUCAGAUAGAUCUAAGAGGGUCUGAAUGGGGGUCUUCAUUUCUGUGUGCUUUAAUAUUUUAGGCCAAUUUAUUAUUUUUCUUUUGUUUGUUUGUUUCACGUUAACAUUAACAUUCACAAAAUCCCAUUUGAGACCCUCAUCAGUAGUAAAGUCCCUGAUUCAAGUUUGUACAUGGAACAAUUGAUUUCAAUGCCAAAUAAUUUUUUUUAAAUAGCUCUUGAUUAAAUUCAAAUUGAAGUGACCAUUUGCAAGAAAUCUGGUCAAGAGAUGUAUGGUUAAGUCUGUAACAUUGGCAUUACUAUGUUUAUGGUCAACUAUAUUUUCAUUGAAAUUGCAAUGACCAUUCAUAUUUUUCCAAUAUCUGUACAUUUCUUCAUGUCUUUAUAAUUACAUAUUUUAUAUGUUAUCUUACAAGGUAAAUUGUUAAUUCUAUGAAUAAGGGCUGGCAACUCUUAGAAAUGCCAUUGCCAGUUGUCAACUCUUAGAAAUGUAGCCUGGGAUCCUGGCUCACUGCUCGACAGUAGAGCCAUCGUGGGAUAGCAUCAUUUCUUGACACAUGGCAGGAAAUAUUUAUAUUGCCACGAAUUUAUUGAAAAUUAUUUUUAAUUUCAUAUGAAAUGCAAAUUGCGAAAAAUUUAGCAAGUAUAAUCCAAAUGUUAUUGAUAAACAUCUUGAAUCAACAGUUAAUUAACAAUCCGAUCGAUAUAUUCCUUGCUUAUAGAACAUGCACAUGCCCAGUAAUUCAUUCCUGUUCAGCGCUGAUAGUUGGUCACAUGGAUCGUAUUACACCUGACACUAUCAACGUAGUAUUAGUUUGGGUCAGGAUGACAGGCUUUUAGAAAUGCCAUUGCUGUGUUUGGAUAAGUGUAGGCCUUAGGCAGCCUAUGAUUAUCCAUAGAUAUCUAAAAUAUCAAACCAUGGGUACCCAAAGGUACCUAUGGUAACCAUAGGCUGCAUUAUGCGUAUAUCCAAACACAGCCUUUUCUCUCUUUUGUAAUUAUCAUAAAUGUCUACAUGGUGCUAUUGUCUCCAAUCUUUUUUUGUCCCAUUUCAUUUAUAUAAUGUUAUAUUAUUUUAAUUGAGGAACUAAGAAUAUUUUUUCUUUAAUUUUUUGCUAUUUGUGCUGAUUCCAGAUGUUUACUGCCUUUAUAUAUUAUUGGUUGUGAAAUUUUUUUGUUAAUUUGUUGUAGAAAUAUUAACUUGCCUUUUGUGAUAUUAUCUUAUUGCUAUUUUAUUGUUGAUUGUCUUUUUUUAAAUAUUUAAGAGUCUUUUUACAUAUUUUUAAUUUGCAAUACAUGUAUAUAUUAUAUAUAUAUAUAUAUAUAUAUAUAUUUAUUUAUAUCAAUGUCUUCAACUGCAAUCCUAUACCUUUUUUGAUUGAUUAUAUUAUCUUGAAGUUUCUCAUAUUACUUGAUCUGAUUGAAUUAUUUAUUUGAGCACUAUUAAUUCUUUUAUUCAGUGAAUUAAAGUAAAUAGCCUCCCUUUAGCAAUUUAAAUGAAAGGGAGAUAAUUCAAAUUGUCUCCCAUAGCUACUUUAUAAAGGGAAAUAACCAUUAAUUUUAAGUUUAAUUAUGUAGAAAAAAAUAUUUACUUCAGAAAUCCUUAAUUUAUGUUUAUCCUAACAUUCCGUCCCCAUAUUAAACCCAAUGAUAUAUCAGUGUGUAAUAUGAAACAGAAAUAAAAUAUUACAAAUUA